CCAGUAACUGAAGGAAGCAGAUGCAGAGAUCCAUGGCCAAACCUCAGGCGGAGCUCCAGGAGCCCAAUCGAUGAGACAGAGGAGGGAUCAUAUGAGCAAGAGAUAUCGAGACUAUGAUUGGAAAAAAGAUAAAUGAAAAGGACACGAGUUAAAGAUCUUUGUAAAUGAAGGAAGGCGGUCAUUCCUGUCUGCAGAUGGUGGGAAAUGGAGAGGUAAGGAUAUCCUUUGUCACUGUCCUGAUGUCAUUUAUCAUUGUGCCAGUUGUUUUACUUGUAUUUGCUGUGGUCUUCCAUAAAAGAAGAGGAAGAUUAAAAUGUGACCCCACACCAUCUCAUCUUAGGUAUGGCCCUAAGGCUAAGUUGUCCCAUCCCUAGCAAGAAGCAAAUAAUGUCAACUAGGAGACAUUUCCAACCCAGAAUGAAAAGUUUGCUUUCUCUGUGGUCAUCUUGGUGGGCUACUACUGUCUUUGCGCAUCCAUGAUCCCAUGUGACCCACCCCCUUGCCUGCAUCCUCAAUUUUGGCUGUCCACUGCAGUGGGUGGGGGAAAUACCAAAACCCCAAACCUUAAAGCAUACCCCUUUUCAAGAAGAAACUUGACCACAUCCAUGUUGCCACUGGCACACGCUGUCAUGAGUGGGGUCUUGUAAGAAGUAUCCUUCAUAUCCACAGGUAUUCCUGCCUCGAAGGCCUUUUUCAGAGAGGCAAGAUCUCCUGCCUUGGUGAUAAAAUUAAUAUUUGUGAAGGCCCUCCCCGGAUCAUCAAUGUACCACUCCGAAUCGUCCUGGAUGGGGUGUUCAGGUGGGUGGUCCCGGUUAAACCUGCUGCAGUCAGUGACAUUCUGGUAGGUCUCGAUCAUGUAGUAGGGCGGGCCCCCGUCUGGCCGUCGCGGAAAGGCGAUCUCCGGGAUGGUGCAUAUCGGGAGAGGUAGAACAAACUUGCCUUUCUUUGGCUUUUUGCCCAAACCCUUUCUCUUUUUCUUAGGCCCGAAAGAUCCCAAGACGUAAGACUUGCCUAAGUAUUUGGUUCCCUUAAAGAACUCGUUAAUGUUGACCCCGCUGUCCCGGCUUUUUUCGUGCAUUUGAGCAACGGUAAGCAGCUGCUCAGGGGUGGCAAACUCUUGCCUCUCCUCCAGGGUCACCACGAAGUCGUCUUUGCUGACUACACCAUCGCCCCUGUCCACGAAGGCAAAGGAUUCCCGAAGGAAAGCCUCAUGCUCCACCGACCAGUCAUGCAGCCUGAGGGCCCAGAGUGGGUUAGGAUUUUUAGCUCCAGGCUUAGCGAGUUUAGCCGCAGUCCGCUCUGCUCGACGUAUUUCCUUGCCUGCGGCUUUGAAGCCUCCGUCUUUCGCCACAGCUCGGGGUGUUUUAUGUUCCAAAUUUUUCCAUUUCAGGUCACAUCCUAAAAAAGAAGCAUCACUGUUAAGAACGUGCCGAAGUUACCUUCUUGGCCCCACAAAACCACACUCCCAACUAUUUUCUUGAGUUCGUGUAGUCAGAGGUUUGCCCUUAAAACUGAUGUAUAAAGAACAUAUUUAGCCAUUGUAAUUACCAAAAGAAACAGCAAUUUAUUUUCCUGAGAGUGAACUUGAGUGAAUUCUGAGAGACAAGUUUACAGUAUGUAUCUGCUCAUCUGUACCCCUGUAGAUAGAUAACUUAGAUAAAAUGUAGAUGUUUGAAACAAAUAUCAUCAAAUGGGGUAUUUGCUGGGGAGAUGAUGCUAAUAACAAAGGGAGGUUGCCCUAGAAUUCAUUAAAAAGAUUCUGGAUCCA